rnacentral:rRNA from 1 species
AAAUUGAAGAGUUUGAUCAUGGCUCAGAUUGAACGCUGGCGGCAGGCCUAACACAUGCAAGUCGAGCGGAAACGAGUUAUCUGAACCUUCGGGGAACGAUAACGGCGUCGAGCGGCGGACGGGUGAGUAAUGCCUAGGAAAUUGCCCUGAUGUGGGGGAUAACCAUUGGAAACGAUGGCUAAUACCGCAUGAUGCCUACGGGCCAAAGAGGGGGACCUUCGGGCCUCUCGCGUCAGGAUAUGCCUAGGUGGGAUUAGCUAGUUGGUGAGGUAAGGGCUCACCAAGGCGACGAUCCCUAGCUGGUCUGAGAGGAUGAUCAGCCACACUGGAACUGAGACACGGUCCAGACUCCUACGGGAGGCAGCAGUGGGGAAUAUUGCACAAUGGGCGCAAGCCUGAUGCAGCCAUGCCGCGUGUGUGAAGAAGGCCUUCGGGUUGUAAAGCACUUUCAGUCGUGAGGAAGGUAGUGUAGUUAAUAGCUGCAUUAUUUGACGUUAGCGACAGAAGAAGCACCGGCUAACUCCGUGCCAGCAGCCGCGGUAAUACGGAGGGUGCGAGCGUUAAUCGGAAUUACUGGGCGUAAAGCGCAUGCAGGUGGUUUGUUAAGUCAGAUGUGAAAGCCCGGGGCUCAACCUCGGAAUUGCAUUUGAAACUGGCAGACUAGAGUACUGUAGAGGGGGGUAGAAUUUCAGGUGUAGCGGUGAAAUGCGUAGAGAUCUGAAGGAAUACCGGUGGCGAAGGCGGCCCCCUGGACAGAUACUGACACUCAGAUGCGAAAGCGUGGGGAGCAAACAGGAUUAGAUACCCUGGUAGUCCACGCCGUAAACGAUGUCUACUUGGAGGUUGUGGCCUUGAGCCGUGGCUUUCGGAGCUAACGCGUUAAGUAGACCGCCUGGGGAGUACGGUCGCAAGAUUAAAACUCAAAUGAAUUGACGGGGGCCCGCACAAGCGGUGGAGCAUGUGGUU